CUGAUCUUGCUUACUUAGAUUAAAAAUGGGCAGGAGUGACCUCUUGCUCUGGGAGAAAUCCUAUUAUGUGAGUAACAAAACUGCAUUUCAUUUGAUGCUAGAGCCUGGAUUUUUAUCCUCCAUGUCUAUACUGUGCUAAACAAAACAAGACCCUGAUCUGUGCCAGAGAGAACAUGAAAAGAAAACAAGUCUGAGAACUGAUCUACGGCGUAUACCACAGCCUCUUUGGAUGGGUAACGCGAAUCUGCCUCACGUGGCUCAGAUAUAAAUCACUCUGCAUUGCAGGGGCAUUACGAUUCUUAGUACAAAUAGCAGCUCCCAGCCUGCCAGGAUCCUGAGCAGCUACAGCGAGCUGACUGCAUGUAAGACAGCCUGUUAGAUGAAUGAGAUGGCUCUCCCUCUCUUCUUCU
ensembl:lncRNA